UGCUCAGUAGCUAGUGUAGGAU
rnacentral:miRNA from 1 species